AACGAACGCUGGCGGCGUGCCUAACACAUGCAAGUCGAACGGGAUUAGGGGCUUGCUCCUAAUCUAGUGGCGCAUGGGUGAGUAACGCGUAGAGAAUAUGCCUGAUGAUCCGGGAUAACACUUCGAAAGAGGUGCAAAUACCGGAUAAGCCCACGGGUUCUUUGGCAGCUGCUGGAAAAGGGGUGAACCUGCGGGCCUUCGGUCAUCAGAUGAUGCUGCGUACCAUCGGCUAGUUGGGAGGGUAAAGGUCUACCAAGGCGACGAUGAUUAGCUGGGUUGAGAGGAUGAGCAGCGACACUGGAACUGAGACACGGUCCAGACUCCUACGGGAGGCAGCAGUGGGGAAUUUUGCGCAAUGGGCGAAAGCCUGACGGAGCAACGCCGCGUGAGUGAUGAAGGCUUUCGGGUCGUAAAGCUCUGUCAAUGGGAAAGAAGUGUACGAGGGCUAAUAUCCUUUGUACUUGACGGUACCCAUAAAGGAAGCACCGGCUAACUCCGUGCCAGCCGCCGCAGUAA
rnacentral:rRNA from 1 species